AUAAAAUUGAAUCAAUUAACCUCGUUGGAAACCCUCAUCCGCUGCAUCUACUCCUUCCCCUCACCUCAGCCCUUCCACUGCCUUGUUUUCUUCGACGCANAGAAGUUCCAUUUGAGAUUGGAGCUUGCCGUCCCCAUCUAAAAUCUGAAUUCUCCCCUCCGUCGCCGAGAUCUGGUCGCCGCACCCUCCAUCUCCGUCAUCACCGCACGUAAAUCACCCCAAAAACAGACAAUUUUCCCUAAAUCCUUGCAAAUCCCUAAGUUAUUCGAGGAGAUCUGCCCGCGGCUGGAAGCGACAAGAGACAGAAAUUCAGGCAGGCAGAGGACGCGGCGGAGGAAGGAGGCGGAGGUAGAACAUGCGUCGGAGGACACAGCGGAGGAACAGACAAAAGUCAAGGAACAGACUCAUCACCUGUUUCCAUCUUCACAGGAAACAAAAAAGGAAAAAGAAAGAGGUCAAGCUCAUUAUCAAUUAUCACUCCCACUUAUCACUAUUACCAACGUGCAACAUCAGAAUAAGGUCUAAAACUAAACCAAUAGCAGCUUGCUAGUAGAAAUUUCAGCUAAUAGGUUGCAUCCAUUAUCCUUAGCUCAGAGACAAUGCAUGACAUUUAUAUCAUUUUAUUUUUACAGAAUACAGAACCGUAAUUGGCCCCAUUUUUAGAAUAUUAACCUCUGUCAUAUUCACCUUGUGACAAACUUGGCAUACAAAAAACAACGAAUACAAUCAAAGAAUAGCAGAAUGCAUACCUUCAGACAUGCAUAAAUGUCACUAUGGUGCUUCUUAAACUUCGUGACACGCUUCUUCACAACCUUCUUGUCCAGCAAAGGAACAGCCAUGGCUUCUUGUUGCUAUGCAGCGGCACAGGCCUCUCCUACUACUUGUGUCCCAAGUUCUACAAGAAUAUAUGAAAUCACAUAGGAAUGAUAACAUUUGCUUGCAACUUAACAGAAUCAAACUGCUUAAAUCUAGCAAGAUAUGGCAACAAAAGCAUAGUAAGUCAUUUCUUUAUUAGAUCAAGGUUUGUCCCAAUUAAAUAGUUGGAGAAUACAAACACUUGAAUAAAUGAGUUUAAACAAUAGCNAAAAGAAAGAGGUCAAGCUCAUUAUCAAUUAUCACUCCCACUUAUCACUAUUACCAACGUGCAACAUCAGAAUAAGGUCUAAAACUAAACCAAUAGCAGCUUGCUAGUAGAAAUUUCAGCUAAUAGGUUGCAUCCAUUAUCCUUAGCUCAGAGACAAUGCAAUGACAUUUAUAUCAUUUUAUUUUUACAGAAUACAGAACCGUAAUUGGCCCCAUUUUUAGAAUAUUAACCUCUGUCAUAUUCACCUUGUGACAAACUUGGCAUAACAAAAAACAACGAAUACAAUCAAAGAAUAGCAGAAUGCAUACCUUCAGACAUGCAUAAAUGUCACUAUGGUGCUUCUUAAACUUCGUGACACGCUUCUUCACAACCUUCUUGUCCAGCAAAGGAACAGCCAUGGCUUCUUGUUGCUAUGCAGCGGCACAGGCCUCUCCUACUACUUGUGUCCCAAGUUCUACAAGAAUAUAUGAAAUCACAUAGGAAUGAUAACAUUUGCUUGCAACUUAACAGAAUCAAACUGCUUAAAUCUAGCAAGAUAUGGCAACAAAAGCAUAGUAAGUCAUUUCUUUAUUAGAUCAAGGUUUGUCCCAAUUAAAUAGUUGGAGAAU
rnacentral:lncRNA from 1 species